CGCAUGAGUGGCGGACGGGUGAGUAACGCGUGGGCAACCUGCCCUGUACGGGGGACAACACUUAGAAAUAGGUGCUAAUACCGCAUAACGGGGGGAGCCGCAUGGCACCCCCCUGAAAACUCCGGUGGUACAGGAUGGGCCCGCGUCUGAUUAGCUGGUUGGCAGGGUAACGGCCUACCAAGGCGACGAUCAGUAGCCGGCCUGAGAGGGCGGACGGCCACACUGGGGACUGAGACACGGCCCAGACUCCUACGGGAGGCAGCAG
rnacentral:rRNA from 1 species